rnacentral:misc_RNA from 1 species
GAUGAAGAACGCAGCGAAAUGCGAUAAGUAAUGUGAAUUGCAGAAUUCCGUGAAUCAUCGAAUCUUUGAACGCAUAUUGCGCCCUCUGGCAUUCCGGGGGGCAUGCCUGUCCGAGCGUCAUUGCUGCCCUCAAGCCCGGCUUGUGUGUUGGGUCUCGUCCCCCUUCCCGGGGGGACGGGCCCGAAAGGCAGCGGCGGCACCGCGUCCGGUCCUCGAGCGUAUGGGGCUUUGUCACCCGCUCUGUAGGCCCGGCCGGCGCUUGCCGAUCAACCAAAACUUUUUUCCAGGUUGACCUCGGAUCAGGUAGGGAUACCCGCUGAACUUAAGCAUAUCAAUAAGCGGAGGA